AGGAAUCAAACCUUCAUCACCAACUCCCAAAGCUGGCAUUUUAACUAAA
rnacentral:tRNA from 1 species